rnacentral:lncRNA from 1 species
UUUUUUGAAGAAUUGAUGAAAAAGAAGGUUGCAGAGGAAAAUUUACUUCGACAAAAUAGCUUUUGGCUUAAGUUGCAUUUAGAUUGAAGUGCAUAACUGCAUAGCUACAAUGUUUGUUUAAGUCCAAAUUGUUUUACUUGAGCAUACACUCACUUAAGUGUAGAUUUUUUGGUUUGUAUAAAUAGAUUCUCUGGGUCAUUUUGA